GACAUUAUGGCAGACAAUGAGACAAUAAGGGACAUUGGGAGAUGUUAUGGAAGACACUGAGACACUAAGGGACAUUGGGAGACGUCUCCCAAUGUCCCUUAAUGUCUCAGUGUCUUCCAUAAUGUCUCCCAAUGUCCCUUAGUGUCUCAUUGUCUGCCAUAAUGUCU